rnacentral:rRNA from 1 species
AUUGAACGCUGGCGGCAGGCCUAACACAUGCAAGUCGAGCGAGCGGCGGACGGGUGAGUAAUGUAUGGGGACUGCCCGAUAGAGGGGGAUAACUACUGUAACCGGUGGCUAAUACCGCAUACUGUCGUAUAACCCAUAUGGGCUUCGCUCGUAGGUAAGGUAAGGGCUUACCUAGGCGACGAUCCCUAGCUGGUCUGAGAGGAUGAUCAGCCACACUGGGACUGAGACACGGCCCAGACUCCUACGGAGGCAGCAGUGGGGAAGAUUGCACAAUGGGCGCAAGCCUGAUGCAGCCAUGCCGCGUGUAUGAAGAAGGCCCUAGGGUUGUAAAGUAUUUUCAGUCGGGAGGCGUGACCGACAGAAGAAGCACCGGCUAACUCCGUGCCAGCAGCCGCGGUAAUUC